GACUGCUAUCGGAUUGGUACUAAGCCAUGCGAGUCAUUGUAGCAAUACAAGGCGGACGGCUCAGUAACACGCAGUCAACCUAACUCGUGGACGUGGAUAACCUCGGGAAACUGAGAAUAAACCACGAUAGAUCAUAGUGCCUGGAAUGGCUUAUGGUCCAAACAGUUUACUGCCAUGGGAUGGGAUUGCGGCCUAUCAGCUUGUUGGUGAGGUAAUGGCCCACCAAGGCGAUUACAGGUACGGGCUCUGAGAGGAGAAGCCCGGAGAUGGGUACUGAGACACGGACCCAGGCCCUAUGGGGCGCAGCAGGCGAGAAACCUUAGCAAUGUGCGAAAGCACGACUGGGUCAGUCCGAGUGAUUCCUGAUAAAGGAGUCUUUUGCUUGUCCUAAAAGCACAGGUGAAUAAGGGGUGGACAAGUCUGGUGUCAGCCGCCGCGGUAAUACCAGCACCUCGAGUGGUCAGGACGUUUAUUGGGCCUAAAGCAUCCGUAGCCGGCUCUGCAAGUCUUCGGUUAAAUCCACCUGCUCAACAGAUGGGCUGCUGGAGAUACUACAGAGCUAGGGAGUGGGAGAGGCAGACGGUAUUCAGUGGGUAGGGGUAAAAUCCUCUGAUCCAUUGAGGACCACCAGUGGCGAAGGCGGUCUGCCAGAACACGUUCGACGGUGAGGGAUGAAAGCUGGGGGAGCAAACCGGAUUAGAUACCCGGGUAGUCCCAGCUGUAAACGAUGCGAGCUAGAUGAUUCGUUCGCAGUUCGCGAACGAAGUGUCGCAGGGAAGCCGUUAAGCUCGCCGCCUGGGGAGUACGGUCGCAAGGCUGAAUCGUAGAGCAGAUAUUUUCUGCCUACGCAGUUCACUUAAAGGAAUUGGCGGGGGAGCACCACAAGGGGUGAAGCCUGCGGUUC
rnacentral:rRNA from 1 species